AGCACCCCCGUCCGCGCAGAGAAAGGUUUUCCUUUGGAGCCACCCCGCUGCGUGCUCCUUGCGGGGGCCCGGCACCGAGAGAUGAGAGAUGCGCCGCGUCCUCGGCCUGUUCUCCGUCCCCGCGGCGCCGGCGCCUUGUCGGACGCGACGGCGUUUCCCUCGAAUGGUUUGCUCUUCAGGGGCCAAGUCAGGCCAGGGAGGCUCAGGGGCCUUCCAGAGAACAAGUCACUUCUCCAGUCUGGCUACAGAGAUGUAGCACUCACCCAAGAUGGCUCGGUGCCGCCACAGCAAAGGCACCUGACUGGUCUGGCCAGUGGGCUGUGUGUCUUCCUGAGAACUGAAAGGUCGCUGGUCCCCUUCUCCUCGGACACACGCCCGGGAUGCAGGGUCGGUCCUCGUUUCAGCGCAGCCAGAGGCAACCAACUGAGCCUUCUCUCCCUCUCUUUCUCCUUCUGUUACCCUCUCUCUCAAACUAAAUGAAUAAAUCUUAGA